UGGCGGACGGGUGAGUAAUGUCUGGGAAACUGCCUGAUGGAGGGGGAUAACUACUGGAAACGGUAGCUAAUACCGCAUAACGUCGCAAGACCAAAGAGGGGGACCUUCGGGCCUCUUGCCAUCGGAUGUGCCCAGAUGGGAUUAGCUAGUAGGUGGGGUAACAGCUCACCUAGGCGACGAUCCCUAGCUGGUCUGAGAGGAUGACCAGCCACACUGGAACUGAGACACGGUCCAGACUCCUACGGGAGGCAGCAUG
rnacentral:rRNA from 1 species